rnacentral:rRNA from 1 species
UACGUAGGGUGCAAGCGUUGUCUGGAAUUACUGGGCGUAAAGAGUUCGUAGGCGGUUUGUCGCGUCGUUUGUGAAAACCAGCAGCUCAACUGCUGGCUUGCAGGCGAUACGGGCAGACUUGAGUACUGCAGGGGAGACUGGAAUUCCUGGUGUAGCGGCGAAAUGCGCAGAUAUCAGGAGGAACACCGGUGGCGAAGGCGGGUCUCUGGGCAGUAACUGACGCUGAGGCGCGAAAGCUGGGGGAGCAAACGGG